GAGUUUGAUCCUGGCUCAGAUCGAACGCUGGCGGCAUGCCUUACACAUGCAAGUCGAACGGCAGCACGGGAGCUUGCUCCUGGUGGCGAGUGGCGAACGGGUGAGUAAUGCAUCGGAACGUAUCCUGGAGUGGGGGAUAACGUAGCGAAAGUUACGCUAAUACCGCAUAUUCUGUGAGCAGGAAAGCGGGGGACCUUCGGGCCUCGCGCUCUUGGAGCGGCCGAUGUCGGAUUAGCUAGUUGGUGAGGUAAAGGCUCACCAAGGCGACGAUCCGUAGCAGGUCUGAGAGGAUGAUCUGCCACACUGGAACUGAGACACGGUCCAGACUCCCACGGGAGGCAGCAGUGGGGAAUUUUGGACAAUGGGGGCAACCCUGAUCCAGCCAUGCCGCGUGAGUGAAGAAGGCC
rnacentral:rRNA from 1 species